UACGGGGGGGGCAAGCGUUGUUCGGAAUUACUGGGCGUAAAGGGCUCGUAGGCGGCCAACUAAGUCAGACGUGAAAUCCCCAGGCUCAACCUGGGAACUGCGUCUGAUACUGGAUGGCUUGAAUCCGGGAGAGGGAUGCAGAAUUCCAGGUGUAGCGGUGAAAUGCGUAGAUAUCUGGAGGAAUACCGGUGGCGAAGGCGGUUCUCUGGGCAUUACCUGACGCUGAGGAGCGAAAGUGUGGGGAGCGAACAGG
rnacentral:rRNA from 1 species